AUGGACGUUAAGACGGCUUUCCUCAAUGGAGAGUUGAAGGAGGAAAUUUACAUGGAUCAGCCAGAUGGUUUUGUAGUACCUGGUCAAGAAGGAAAUGUGUGCAAGUUAUUCAAGUCUUUAUAUGGCCUUAAACAAGCUCCUAAGGAGUGGCAUGAGAAGUUUGAAAGAACAUUAACUGUUGCCGGCUUUGUAGUAAAUGAUGGUGACAAGUGUGUGUACUAUCGCCAUGGUGGGGGCGAAGGAGUUAUUCUUUGUCUGUAUGUCGACGACAUAUUUAUCUUUGGAACCAAACUUGAUUUAAUCAAGGAGGUUAAGGAUUUCUUAUCUCGCUGUUUUGAGAUGAAGGAUCUAGGAGUAGCUGAUGUUAUCUUAAACAUCAAGCUGUUGAGAGAUGAGAAUGGUGGGAUCACACUGCUUCAGUCUCACUAUGAGGAAAAGGUCUUGAGUCGUUUUGGGAAUAGCGACUGCACGCCUUCUCCAACUCCAUAUGAUGCUAGUGUGUUGCUUCGGAAGAAUCGACGGAUUGCUAGAGAUCAUCUGAGGUAUUCCCAGAUUAUUGGCUCACUUAUGUAUUUGGCGAGUGCCACGAGGCCUGACAUCUCUUUUGCUGUGAGCAAGCUGAGUCGGUUUGUGUCAAAACCGGGAGAUGAUCAUUGGCGUGCGCUUGAGAGAGUUAUGCGCUACUUGAAGGGCACUGCGAGCUAUGGGAUUCACUACACCGGGUAUCCAAGGGUACUGGAGGGUUAUAGUGACUCGAACAGGAUAUCUGAUGCUGAUGAGAUUAAGGCCACAAGUGGUUAUGUUUUUACACUUGGUGGUGGCGCUAUUUCCUGGAAGUCUUGCAAGCAUACCAUCUUAACAAGGUCAACUAUGGAAGCAGAACUCAUAGCAUUAGACACUGCCACUGUUGAAGCAGAGUGGCUUCGUGAGCUAUUGAUGGACUUACCUAUGUUUGAAAAACCAAUGCCCCCUAUCCUGAUGAACUGUGAUAAUCAAGCAUGUGAAGAGGAGAUUAAAAUCUGUCAGGAAACUGAGGAACUCCGGAGUUAUUACUUUGGAUUAUAUCCAAACGUAGAAAAACUUGGCAGAUCCCUUCAUAAAGGGUCUAUCACUUAA
rnacentral:rRNA from 1 species